CUAGAAAGCAUCACGCCAGGCAUUACGUGGCCUAGUGGGCUCGGAGGACCCUUAGAAACC
rnacentral:rRNA from 1 species